UACGUAGGUGGCAAGCGUUACUCGGAAUCACUAGGCGUAAAGCGCAGGUAGGUGGUGGGAUAAGUCUAUUGUGAAAGCUCCUGGCUUAACUGGGAGAGGUCAAUGGAAACUGUCUUGCUAGAGUAUGGCAGGGGAAACUGGAAUUCCCGGAGUAGCGGUGAAAUGCGUAGAUAUCGGGAGGAAUACCGAUGGCGAAAGCAGGUUUCUGGGCCAUAACUGACACUAAGCUGCGAAAGCUAGGGGAGCAAAC
rnacentral:rRNA from 1 species